rnacentral:rRNA from 1 species
GUCCUCUAGGGAAAUAAUUUGAGGUCUAACCUGCCCACUGAAAAUUUUAAAUGGCCGCAGUAUUUUGACUGUGCAAAGGUAGCAUAAUCAUUAGUUUUUUAAUUAAAAGCUUGUAUGAAUGGUUGGACGAAAUAAAAACUGUCUCUAUAUAAUAAUUAGAAUUUAAUUUUUAAGUUAAAAAGCUUAAAUUUAAUUAAAAGACGAGAAGACCCUAUAGAUCUUGAUAAUAAAUUUUAUAGUUUUAUUAAGGAUUUAUUUAUUUAUUAUAAUUAUUAUUAUUUUAUUGGGGUAAUAAGAAGAUUAAUAAAAUUCUUUUUUGUGUUUACCAUAAAUUAAUGAUUAUUUGAUCCUUGUUAUUGAUUAAAAGAUUAAGUUACCUUAGGGAUAACAGCGUAAUUUUUUUAGAGAGUUCAUAUCGAUAAAAAAGUUUGCGACCUCGAUGUUGGAUUAAAAAUUAUUUUGGGUGUAGAAGUUCAAAUUUUUGGUCUGUUCGACCAUUAAAUUUUUACA